rnacentral:rRNA from 1 species
AGCUCCAAAAGUGUAUAUUUAAGUUGUUGCGGUUAAAAAGCUCGUAGUUGGAUUUUGGGCGCAGGCGGCCGGUCCGUCGCAAGGCGUGUACUGGCCGUCCUGGCCUCACCUCCGGUUCUCCGCCGGUGCCCUUGACUGAGUGUCGGCGGCGGCCGGAACGUUUACUUUGAAAAAAUUAGAGUGUUCAAAGCAGGCGAUUCGCCUGAAUAAUGGUGCAUGGAAUAAUGGAAUAGGACCUCGGUUCUAUUUUGUUGGUUUUCGGAGCGCGAGGUAAUGAUUAAGAGGGACAGACGGGGGCAUUCGUACUGUGCCGUUAGAGGUGAAAUUCUUGGAUCGGCGCAAGACGAACGACUGCGAAAGCAUUUGCCAAGAAUGUUUUCUUUAAUCAAGAGCGAAAGUCAGAGGUUCGAAGACGAUCAGAUACCGUCCUAGUUCUGACUAUAAACGAUGCCAACUAGCGAUCGGGGGGCGUUAGUUUUACGACCUCUCCGGCAGCUUGCGGGAAACCAAAGUCUUUGGGUUCCGGGGGAAGUAUGGUUGCAAAGCUGAAACUUAAAGGAAUUGACGGAAGGGCACCACCAGGAGUGGAGCCUGCGGCUUAAUUUGACUCAACACGGGAAAUCUCACCCGGCCCGGACACAGUGAGGAUUGACAGAUUGAGAGCUCUUUCUUGAUUCUGU